rnacentral:rRNA from 1 species
AGCUCCAAUAGCGUAUAUUAAAGUUGCUGCAGUUAAAAAGCUCGUAGUUGGAUCUCGGGCACAGGCUUGCGGUCCGCCUCGCGGCGGCCACCGCUCGCCCUGGCCUCCCGGCCGGCGUCACCGUCCCUUGGUGCUCUUGAUCGAGUGUCUCGGGCGGCCGGCACGUUUACUUUGAAGAAAUUAGAGUGCUUAGAGCAGGCCCUGGUCGCCUGGAUAAUUGUGCAUGGAAUAAUGGAAUAGGACCUCGGUUCUAUCUGUUGGCUCUCGGAGCGCGAGGUAAUGAUUGAUAGGGACGGACGGGGGCAUCCGUAUUGCGGCGCUAGAGGUGAAAUUCUUGGACCGUCGCAAGACGAACGACAGCGAAAGCAUUUGCCAAGCAUGUUUUCA